UGUGAUUCCACCUACCCCCCAGACAGGGGCAAUCCAGGAUAAAGAGAAGACGGUGCCAGAGUCAUGCCAGCUGGGAUUGUUCUCUUGCCCCGGAUUCACUACAGAACUAAGAGUCCCCCAUGCUGGUCCUCUCAGGCCAUCUGGAGUUAGGAAAAGCAGACGGAAGCAAGGCCAGACCCCCUGUCGACGGUCAGUAAGCAACGGCCAUUUGAAGCUGAGCCAGGGAGUGGGAGCCAGACUGGGGGGGAGGGGGUGCUGGCUAGCAUCUGGGCUGAGUCUGUCUGGAGGAGGGGCUUGGGGAAGGCCAGGCCAGGCUGGGCUCUUUUGGGCAGCGAUGCAGGUACAGAACGUGGACUUCUCAGGGUGCCUGGAACAGACCCAGCACAAGGCAUUGACUCAAAACAAACAAGGCUCUUAAGAUACUGAUAAAAAUAGUAACGGUGGUGACAAUGACGACAAUAACAAUAGCUAACAUUUAUUUUGGAGCUCCUUUGUGCCACCGGCCAGGCCACAUAGUUUGCUUGAAUUAGCUCCUAUUAAUCCUCUUGACAGACCUAUCAAGUAGAUACUAUUUUUAUUCGCGCUGUACAGAUGAGGGAACUUACCGUGAGAAGGCUAGUCGAGGGGCUCGAGUUACUUAGCGGGUAAGUGAUGAACAGUUAUUUAAACCCAGACAGUCCUACACUAGCCCUUCCCAAGCCUUCUGCUUCUCAUUACAUGGGGCCUUCAUUCCCCCCUGCCGUUCAGGCCUCAUUCCCUAAGAUUCCUCCUCCAGCUCUUAUUCUCAAACUAACUAUAACUAACGUAUCAGCAAAGCCCCACAAGCAUUGCCUUGAACCUUUCUCCUCAACGUGGCCCCUUAGCAUUAUCUCCCAACCACAAGUGUAUCAGUCAGAGGCGCUAGGUUAUGCCUCAGUGACAAAGAGCCCCCAUCUCUCAGCAGUUUAAUUUAACGAAAGUUUAUCUCUUGCUCUUGCUACACAUGAACUACAGAUACAUGGGGGCCUCUGCUCCAUGUCAUUCUCACUUAUGGGCCCAGGCAGACAGGGUUUCUAGAAUUCUAAUGUCACCAUGAUAUGGCCAAGAAAGGGAGAAUCGUGCACUAGCUCUUAGAGGUUUCUCCUUCUCACUUUUUAUUGAUUGAAGCAAACCACAUGUCCACACCUAAUUUUACCAGGGGGGAAGGGCAAUUCUACCUCAGACCCGGGAGGAGACCUAGCGACACAGGUGGGCCACAUAGGUGCCCAGUCACUGCCGAGCCAGUCUCCAUUCUCUCUUGCACAAAGACCUUGAACAGCUUCAAACUGGUCUCCUCACUUCCCCUCCCGCUCUUGCCCUAUAAUCCCUUAUCCAUGCAACAGCCAGAAUGAUCUAAAACAUACAUCAGAUGACUUUACUCUUCGGCUCAAAGUCCUCAAAUGGCUUCUAUCACAUUAACAAGAAAGGUAAAGUUUCUCAUCCUGGCCUACGAGGCUCCAGAACAAGGGUCAGCAAGCUGUCGCCCUCUGGCCACAUCCAGCCCACCGCCUGUCUUUAUCAAUAAAGUUUUAGUGGAACAAAGUCAGUUUGCUGACUCCUAUCUCAAAGGACCCGGACACUGCCUCCCCCCAGACUUUAUUUCUCCUCGUUCCCCCUUGUACACUCCCUCCAGCCACACUGCACAGCCUGUGAUUCCUGCAAGUACCCAGCUCACUCCCACCUAGGACCAUUGCACACUCUGUCUUCCCACCAUCCUCCUCCCUCACUUUUAACACAGCCCACUCCUCCCUGUCCUUCUGGCUUCUUCUCUGAUAGCACCUGCUCAGGGGGUCCCGCCUGACCCCUUUCAAUAGCAACCAGGCAAGCUCUUUAACCCUUUCUCCCCUCAUUCGUCUCCAACCAAAAUGAUAGCACAGAUGCUAUUUAUUUCCGUGUUUCCAGUCUUGCCCCUUAUUAAGGUCUGUGAAGUCUUGGAAGUUUUGUAUUGAGAGACCUGGAGUGGUCUCGGUACAUUGAGACAAUCUUCUCUUCGCCUGUGCCUUCUGUGUCCCUCUUUUUUAAGCUGACGAGAGCCCUCCUGGGGAGGAAAUUUUCAAUUUUUGGCCUCAGCUCCAAAGAGAAUAUACUUCCAUGAGAUUUUCAAGAUCGCUUUAUGGCUGAGGAUUUGAAUUUUUGCAUUUGAGGGUCAAGGACAAUAGUGGUAUUAUUAUGGCUUUUUAAAAAACACUUCAAGCAAAUUCCGGUCAUCUUUGGGAGGCAAACUUUGAACAUCUCGGCAGUCCCCAAGGAGAACAAUCUUCUGUAACUUUGAAGCCAAAUGGGAUUUCUGAAAAGGAAGCUACAGUCAAUUGAAAACUCUCAGUGGAGCGUGAAGGGCAGAGGAGUCCCCGCGGUGGGCCGCAGCUGAGCUCGCCCAGGCUGGACGUGCCCUUCCCGGCUGGAGAGAGACCGCACAGACAGCACAGUAGGCGUGCUGGAGGCUGCACGGGUCUCCGACCCGAAUCUCUGCUCGGAUACCAGCUCAGAAGACCAAGUAUUUCUUCCUCGAUCUUUGCUAUGGGCUUGGCUGUUUUCAGAUGACUUUAGGUGACUAAGACAGAAAAGACAGGCAAAAGAAAAACAAAGUGAGACUCUGCCCACCUUCUCCCCAGCAGAGAUGCUCUGGGAUAUAGCAGAAACAAAGAGGCACCAUGCUACAGUCUUGUCUCCCGAAAAGCUCACCUGGAUGUGUUUCCAAUCCAGGAUGGUUCCAAUCUAGAAGUCCUACCGAACUUCAGGGGCUGCUGUGCAGAAGGAAGAAGAGGACUGUUGCUGAGCCAUGGAGGACAGCAGGGAGGGAGAGGAAUUGGUGGGAGAGGGGCUGUGGCAACCAGGGGUAGAGUGAUGCUCCCGGGCAGGCUGGACCCACUGCCCCUGCUGGGGGCUUCAAAUCAUUGACCUCCCAGCAGAGGAGGGCACGGAGGCUGGUGCUGCCCCCAGGCUGCCUCCACGGUACAGGACGAAGGCAAGGAGAAGAAAGAACCCUGAUCCCAGAGCGACAGCUUGAGGUCUCCCUAGGUGCACGCCAGUCCACACGGGUGCCAACCUCACAUUCUGGUGAGAGCUUCCCAAAUGCCUCGGGCUGCCUCUCUCCCCCGGCCUCUGCCCGCCCUGCCCACUGCGCAUCCUUCUCUGGUCUUCUCGUCUCUCGUAACAGCUCUGUCUGUUGCCUUCUCCACAAAUGCACCCUUCCCGUGGCUGCCAGAAAAUCUCUCGAGGUGGAAAUCUGCUCAUAUAUCUCCCUGCCCACCGUCCACCAUGGGCUCCUGCCUGCCCGGGGGGAAAAACCCCUGUCCUUAUCUGGGUGAACCAAGGCCCUCCAUACUCUGUCCUGCCCGGAAGCACAUUUCUCUCCCUCCCCUCCAGUCUUACAGCCCAAACCUGUCACACCAACCUUCUCUGCAUUCGGGGAACGCAGUAUAUCCUUCCCAAACUUCUCCCUUUGCACAUGCUGUGCCCUCUUUCUGGAAUGCCCUUCCCUUCUGCCUUGGGCAAGGGCAGAGGUGGCAGGGAGGAGGUUUGGAUAUCCCAUGGAGUUUGGGCUGGAUCCUUUUGCCUGGUGAUUCUCAAACAUUGUCACGUGACAAAGCUCCUAUAACACACCGGUCCUUUUCAGGACACCACAGACUCUUGAUACUUUUAAGAGACAGGCCUCUUUGAUACAGGACUGCCAUGUUCCUUAGGCAUACACAGCUCUCGACACAUAUAUGAUGUUUUUAAUAAAACACAUUUCCAAGUUGUUCACAUGAUGUGUUCUUUUCAUUUGCACAGUAAUUUUCUAAUGUGCCUGGGUUAGCAAACUGUAGCAUGUAGCUGUGAAUCUGUUCAACUCGGUGAGCCCUGAGUUCCUUUUCCUGUACGAUAAUGAGAGCAAUUUCACAAGGAUUGAGCAGAUGAAAGCCGCUGGUGCACGCACGAGGAGUCCGGGACGUGCCAACAGCUUUUCUCCCCAUCUUCUUCCCCAUACAUGACCCACGGGCCCCUUUGCUCCAUAUGCACUGUGACCCACGGCUCCCGGCUGGGACCCUGGUUUGGUCCUGUGGCACAUAUUCAAUGUUUUCCUGUGUCCAGUAUUCACUUCCUUUUUUUUAAAAUACAUUUUUAAACUUUAUUUAUUUAAAAAAAAUUUUUUUUUUCAACGUUUAUUUAUUUUUGGGACAGAGAGAGACAGAGCAUGAACGGGGGAGGGGCAGAGAGAGAGGGAGACACAGAAUCGGAAACAGGCUCCAGGCUCUGAGCCAUCAGCCCAGAGCCUGACGCGGGGCUCGAACUCCCGGACCGCGAGAUCGUGACCUGGCUGAAGUCGGACGCUUAACCGACUGCGCCACCCAGGCGCCCCAAACUUUAUUUA